CAGUAGCCGCGGUAAUACAGAGGGUGCGAGCGUUAAUCGGAUUUACUGGGCGUAAAGCGUGCGUAGGCGGCUUCUUAAGUCGGAUGUGAAAUCCCCGAGCUUAACUUGGGAAUUGCAUUCGAUACUGGUUAGCUAGAGUGUGGGAGAGGAUGGUAGAAUUCCAGGUGUAGCGGUGAAAUGCGUAGAGAUCUGGAGGAAUACCGAUGGCGAAGGCAGCCAUCUGGCCUAACACUGACGCUGAGGUACGAAAGCAUGGGGAGCAAACAGGAUUAGAUACCCCGGUAGUCCCUGUCUCUUAUAC
rnacentral:rRNA from 1 species